AAAGGAGUCAUUCUGAUCUGCAAGGGAUCCAUGUUAACGAAUACAAAAAUGCAUGAGAUGUAAAUAGGUGUCAACGAGAGCUAUCGAAUAAAAAAAACGCGUGCAUCGUCAUUUGUUACUAUAAAUACGUGCGAAAAAAAUGUUUGGAAACUUCUGGUGUAAAUCGACGGGGCAAAACCGAAAAUUUGUAUACAAUCUCUGAAAAUAUUCACCGGACAUUGCCGGAUUUAGAGUCUAGACAUAUCGGCGUUGGGAAAUCGUAUAGAAGACACACGAGUCCCGAUGUUCGAUUUUAGUUUUUAAAAUACGCGUGUUACAGAUUUGUUGAUGGGUUUCGUGGAAAUCGUUACACCGGAUCAUAGUUAUCGCGAGACUAUAAUUUCCGUUUUAGAUCCGCUUGUAUAACAGUAUAAAUCUGUGCUCGUCAAAAAGACCGGUCGUUUCGUUAUUAUUAUCUCGUCGCUCGACGCCAAACCGUCUCCUCUUUCCACCUACCCCUUUACGCGCUGGGGGGCCGAGAAGGAGUCUUGAAUCUGACGUAUCCAAUAUCGCCUAUAUUAUACU